rnacentral:rRNA from 1 species
CCUACGGGUGGCUGCAGUGAGGAAUAUUGGUCAAUGGACGAGAGUCUGAACCAGCCAAGUAGCGUGAAGGAUGACUGCCCUAUGGUUUGUAAACUUCUUUUAUAUGGGAAUAAAGUUUUCCACGUGUGGGAUUUUGUAUGUACCAUAUGAAUAAGCAUCGGCUAACUCCGUGCCAGCAGCCGCGGUAAUACGGAGGAUCCGAGCGUUAUCCGGAUUUAUUGGGUUUAAAGGGUGCGUAGGUGGAUUGUUAAGUCAGUUGUGAAAGUUUGUGGCUCAACCGUAAAAUUGCCGUUGAAACUGGCAGUCUUGAGUAUAGUAGAGGUAGGCGGAAUGCGUGGUGUAGCGGUGAAAUGCUUAGAUAUCACGAAGAACUCCGAUUGCGAAGGCAGUUCACUGGACUGCAACUGACACUGAGGCACGAAAGUGUGGGUAUCAAACAGGAUUAGAUACCCUAGUAGUC